GGUUCUAUGGUGUAGCGGUUAGCAUAAUGGAUUCUGAUCCCAUCGGAAUAUUCCAUCGACCCCGGUUCGAUUCCGGGUAGGACCU
rfam:Tncinocarpus reesii 1704 scaffold_2 genomic scaffold, whole genome shotgun sequence.